GACGAACGCUGGCGGCGCGCUUAACACAUGCAAGUCGAACGGAAAGGCCCUGCUUUUGUGGGGUGCUCGAGUGGCGAACGGGUGAGUAACACGUGAGUAACCUGCCCUUGACUUUGGGAUAACUUCAGGAAACUGGGGCUAAUACCGGAUAGGAGCUCCUGCUGCAUGGUGGGGGUUGGAAAGUUUCGGCGGUUGGGGAUGGACUCGCGGCUUAUCAGCUUGUUGGUGGGGUAGUGGCUUACCAAGGCUUUGACGGGUAGCCGGCCUGAGAGGGUGACCGGCCACAUUGGGACUGCGAUACGGCCCAGACUCCUACGGGAGGCAGCAGUGGGGAAUAUUGCACAAUGGGCGGAAGCCUGAUGCAGCAGCGCCGCGUGCGGGAUGACGGCCUUCGGGUUGUAAACCGCUUUCGCCUGUGACGAAGCGUGAGUGACGGUAAUUGGUAAAGAAGCACCGGCUAACUACGUG
rnacentral:rRNA from 1 species